GUCUACGGCCAUGCCACCUUGAACAAGCCCAAUGUCUGAUCUCGGAAGCUAAGCAGGGUCGGGACUGGUUAGUACUUGGAUGGUAGACUACCUAUAGGAAGACCAGGUGCUGAAGGCA
rnacentral:rRNA from 1 species